rnacentral:tRNA from 1 species
GCGAGGGUGGCGGAACUGGCAGACGCGUACGUUUGAGGGGCGUAUGGGUAAUUCCGUGAGGGUUCGAGUCCCUCCCCUCGCA